rnacentral:rRNA from 1 species
CAGCAGCCGCGGUAAUACGGAGGGUGCGAGCGUUAAUCGGAAUUACUGGGCGUAAAGCGCGCGUAGGCGGUUUGUUAAGUCGGAUGUGAAAUCCCCGGGCUCAACCUGGGAAUGGCAUUCGAUACUGGCCGACUAGAGUACGAGAGAGGGAGGUAGAAUUCCACGUGUAGCGGUGAAAUGCGUAGAUAUGUGGAGGAAUACCGGUGGCGAAGGCGGCCUCCUGGCUCGAUACUGACGCUGAGGUGCGAAAGCGUGGGUAGCAAACAGGAUUAGAUACCCUGGUAGUCCACGCAGUAAACGGUGAACACUAGGUGUAGCGGGUAUUGACCCCUGCUGUGCCGAAGCUAACGCAUUAAGUGUUCCGCCUGGGAAGUACGGCCGCAAGGUUAAAACUCAAAGGAAUUGACGG